rnacentral:lncRNA from 1 species
AUGAUCCUUCCUGAAGCCCUUUCUGGACUGACUGUAAAGAUUCCCUCACUGACAAGAACCCUGCUGUUGCCACAGAUCCAUCUGUUCCACAAAGAUUUCAAGUGCAAUGAUUGCCUAGGGCAUCUUCUCCUUUGGCCUUCUCAACCCAGAACACACACCCUGCCCUCUUCUCCCACUGCCCUGGACAGGUCCUGUGAGUAAUCGAGUCUGCCGUCCUGGAAACUGGAUGAGCUUGUGGCUGAAAGGAAUUAUUUGAGCUGAUCGUGGGAAAUCGAACAGUGACAGGAGGAGGAAAAAGAGAAUAGAGAGAAACCGACACAUCUGAACAGCCGG